AUUGGUGGCUGGAGUUCAGGAAGUUCAGCUGCUUCUUGUGCGUUUGUGUAGCUGUGUUACGGUCAUUGUCUGCAGUCAGUCAGGUUGUAACACCAGUGCUGUCGGGUUCCGUUUGUUCUGGUGACUUCAGAUAAGCACUGGGAGCCGGACUGACAAACAUCAGCAGCCCAGGGUGGGAUCUGUUCCACUGGGUCCAAAUGCCUGCAGUUCACCUGAUGAUCAAGAUCCUGCUGCUCCUCUUCAUCACCUCACAUGUCAGUGCAUUUAAAGUGAAGGUGACACAGAGACACUAUGAGGCAAAAGAGAACAGCAACAUCACACUGGAGUGGACGAUCACCACAGACAAUGAGACUAAGACUGAGGACAUUCAUGUCCUCUGUGAUCAUUUUACCAAACAGAAAGUAUCAGUCCUGUAUCUGGUCCAUGCUGGUGUUGAGCUCUCAGAGUCUGUGGAUGAAGUUUUUUCAGGAAGAGUCCAGAGUAACACAGACGCCCUCAGAGAAGGACGAAUCAGACUUCAUCUGUCCAGACUCAGGACUGAAGACUCUGGUCUGUAUGUGUGUUCAGUGAGGACAGCUUCUGGUUCUGGCUCUGACAUAUGUGGUCUCAAUGUUAUUGCAGCAGCAUUUGAAGUGAAGGUGACACAGAGCUCCUAUCAGGCAGAGGAGAACCACAACAUCACACUGGAGUGGACGUUCCCAGCUGAGGUCUCCACCAUCAGGAUUUUCAUCUACUGUGAAUUUUUAAAAGAAAGAAAUAUAUUCUGCCUGUAUGAUGUCUACGAAGGUUUCGAGAAGCCAGGCUCUCAGCAUAAACGUUUUUCAGGAAGAGUCCAGAGUGACACAGACGCCCUCAGAGAAGGACGAAUCAGACUUCAUCUGUCCAGACUCAGGACUGAAGACUCUGGUCUGUAUGUGUGUGAUGUGAGGACAGCUUCUGGUUCUGGUUCUUCCAGCUGUGAGCUCACAGUCUCUGCAGCUGCUGCUGAGACACACACUGACAGACCAGCUCUGAGUCCAGCUCUGGGUCCACCAGCAGGGAGAGGAGGACAGACAAGACACCAUUAUGGACCGAUAGUAGCAGGAGUUUUAUUGUUUAUCUGUGUUAUAAUUAUGUGCAUUAUCACAUGGAGAAGUAGACAAACGUCUGACUCAGAGAGAGAACCCAUCAGGACAAACAGGACUCCACUCUAUCAAGAGAUGUGUCCAAGAGCCUGAGUCCAAGAAACUGACUCGCAAAUUAGUUUCAGCUAAGACUUCAAUAGGAACUCCUCCGGCCUAACAGUUUCACCUAACAGAGGCUGACUGACCUGGAUGGACACUAGUUUUUUGAAGUUUACUGUUGCAGUAAAUCAGCACACUUCUGAAAUCUAUCUUGGAGAGUUUUCCUUCGACCAAUAGGGGGCAGCAGAGGGUGUAACUACAAACAAGUGCUGUCAUAUUCUCCAUAUAAUGCUCUUCAGGUUACCAUUUAAAUAAAUUCAGGAUGAGAAUGCA
rnacentral:lncRNA from 1 species